rnacentral:miRNA from 1 species
UGGUCAGCGUGCCUGCCUGUACCCCAGAGGUAAUGGGUUCAAGGCUCGUCGCUGCUAC